CUGAAAAGUGUGUUUUCCUUCUAACACCAAGUUCUUCUCAGGACAAAGAUGUGGAAUUUCCAGGACCUCUCUUUCAGCCGAACUAAAUGGUAAACUCCAAGCCAAAGAGCUAUUCACAGUAGAGGUCUCAUAGAGUUAUUCUACAGAUAUUGGUAAUGCAGAGAGCCGGAUUGUAACAUGAAUACUAUUCCAUGGAAUUCCCAGAGUGGAGUGUACAUCAACAGUGACAGAUAUCUAGCUCCUUUCUCUGAGCUAGAACUGCACUUUAUAUCAUAACAUUCCAUUGACUUACAUGGGAGAUUUGGCACUAGAAUUGUUUUAAUUAAAACUGCAGUGCAAACUGCAGAACCAUUCUGAAAAUUCACUUUGGCUUCUAUCAAGUUCUAUUUAGGACAAAGUUAGGGACUUUCUGGGAUCCUUCUUUCAGCAGAAUUACAUGGCAAAUUCUAGGCAAAAAUUACAUUCACAGUAGUGGCCUCAUAGAGAUGUGCUAUAGAAAAUGGCAAUGCAGAGAACUAUGUUGUGCAAUGCCUACGGUUGCAUGGUAAUUACAGACUGGAGUGUACAGCCACAGUGACAGAGAUCUAGCUGUUUUGUCUGAGAAGGAACUGCACUUUAUAUCAGAACUUUCCAUUGAUUUGUACGGAACAUCUGGUGCUAGAAGUAUAUUUGAAUGAAACUUGCAUUGCAAAGUGCAGAACCAUUCUGAAAAUUGUGUUUGGCUUCUAACAUUAAGUUCUUCAUAUGAGAAAGUUGAGGACUUUCCAGGACCUUUCUUUCAACAGAACUACAUGGCAAUUUCUCUGCCAAAGUGCUAUUCACAGUACAGGCCAUAUAGAGAGGUGCUAUAGAUAUGGGCAAUGCAGAGAGCUAGAUUAUGACAUGACUAUAUUCCACGUAAUUCCCACAGUGGUUUCCUGUCACCAUGAGAGAGAUCUAGCCACGUAAUCUGAGAAGUAACUUCACUUCAUAUCAUAACCUGGUAUAGACUUGCAUGGGAGAGUUGGCACUAGAAGGUUUUUGAAGGAAAAUUGCCAUGCAAACUGCAAAACCAUUUUCAAAAGUGCGUUUGGCUUCUAAUAUCAAGUUCUGCUUAAGACAAUGUUGAGGACUUUCCACGACCUUUCUUUCAGCAGAGCUGCAUGACAAUUACUAGUCCAAAGUGCUAUUCACAGUACAGGCCUCAGAGAUGUGCUAUAGAAUUUGGCAAUGCAGAGAACCAGAUUGUGAAGUGAGUACUAGUAAAUGUAAUUCACAGAGUGGAGUGUACAGUCACAGUGACAAAGAUCUAGCUGCUUUCUCUGAGAGGUGACUACACUUCAUAUCAUAAUGUUCUUUUGCCUUGCAUGGGAAUUCUGGCACUGGAUAAUGUGUGAAUGAAAUCUGCAGUGCAAACUACAGAACCAUUCUGAAAAGUGUGUUUGGCAUCUAACAUCAAGUUCUACUUAGGACAAAUUCAGGACAUUCCAGACAUUUCUUUCAGGAGAACUACAUGGCAAUUUCUAGGCUAAAGUGCUAUUCACAGUACAGAGCUUGUGGAUAUGUGCUACAGAAUUUGGAAAUGUGGAAAGCCAGAUUGUGAUGUGCAUACUCUUCCAUGGAACUCAAACAAUAGCAUGUACACCCACAGUGUUAGAGUUCUAGAUGCUUUCUCUGAGAAUGUACUGCACUUUAUAUCAUAACAUUGCAUUGACUUCCAUGGGAGAUCUAGUGCUAGAGGUAUGUUUGAGUAAAAACUUCAGUGCAAACUGCAGAACCAUUCUGAAAAGUGCAUUUGGACCCUAACAUCAAGUUCCACUUAGGACAAUGUUGAAGACUUUCCAAGACAUUACUUUGAGCAGAACUGUAUGACAAUUUAUAGGCCAAAGUGCUAUUCACAAUACAGGCCUCCUAGAGAUGUGUUACAAAUAUUGACAAUGCAGAGAGCCAGAUUGUGAUGUGAGUACUAGUCCAUGGAAUUCACAGAGUGGAGUGUACUGUCACAGUGCCAGAGAUCUAGCUCCUUUCUCAGAGAAGAGACUGAACUCAUGUCAUAACAGUCCAUUGAGUUACAUGGUAGAUCUGGUGCUAGAAGUAUGUUUGAGUGAAAUCUGCAGUGCAAACUUCAGAACCAUUCUGAAAAGUGAGUUUGGCUUCUAACAUCAAGUUCUAUUUAGGACAAAGUUGAGGACUUUUCAGGACCUUUCUUUAAGCAGAACUACAUGGCAAAUUCUAGGCCAAAAUGCUAUUCACAGUACAGUACUCAGAGAGAUGUGCUACAGAAAUUGGCAGUGCAGAGAGGCAGACUGUGAAGAGAAUACUAUUUCUUGUAAUUAACAGAGAGUAGUUUACUGCCAAAGUGACAGAGAUGUAGCUUCAUACUUUGAGAAGGAACUGCACUUUAUAGUAUAACCUUCCAUUGAGUUGAAUGGCAGAGCUGGCGCUAGAAGAAUGUUUGAAUGAAAACUGCAUUGCAAACUGCAGAACCAUCUUGAAAGUUGUGUUUGGCUUCUAACAUGAAGUUCUUCUUAGGAAAAGGUUGACCACUCUCUAGGCCCUUUGUUUCAGCAAACUCCAUGGCAGUUUCUAG
rnacentral:lncRNA from 1 species